GAUGAACGCUGGCGGCGUGCUUAACACAUGCAAGUCGAACGGAAAGGCUCCUGCUUGCAGGGGUACUCGAGUGGCGAACGGGUGAGUAACACGUGGGUGAUCUGCCCUGCACUUCGGGAUAGGCCUGGGAAACUGGGUCUAAUACCGGAUAGGACCACAUUUUGGAUGGUGUGGUGGAAAGUUUUUCGGUGUGGGAUGAGCUCGCGGCCUAUCAGCUUGUUGGUGGGGUAAUGGCCUACCAAGGCGUCGACGGGUAGCCGGCCUGAGAGGGUGUACGGCCACAUUGGGACUGAGAUACGGCCCAGACUCCUACGGGAGGCAGCAGUGGGGAAUAUUGCACAAUGGGCGCAAGCCUGAUGCAGCGACGCCGCGUGGGGGAUGACGGCCUUCGGGUUGUAAACUCCUUUCGCUAGGGACGAAGCGCAAGUGACGGUACCUGGAGAAGAAGCACCGGCUAACUACGUG
rnacentral:rRNA from 1 species